rnacentral:rRNA from 1 species
GAUGAACGCUGACGGCGUGCCUAAUACAUGCAAGUCGAGCGAACAGACGAGGAGCUUGCUCCUUCGACGUUAGCGGCGGACGGGUGAGUAACACGUAGGUAACCUACCUAUAAGACUGGGAUAACUUCGGGAAACCGGAGCUAAUACCGGAUAAUAUUUCGAACCGCAUGGUUCGAUAGUGAAAGAUGGCUUUGCUAUCACUUAUAGAUGGACCUGCGCCGUAUUAGCUAGUUGGUAAGGUAACGGCUUACCAAGGCAACGAUACGUAGCCGACCUGAGAGGGUGAUCGGCCACACUGGAACUGAGACACGGUCCAGACUCCUACGGGAGGCAGCAGUAGGGAAUCUUCCGCAAUGGGCGAAAGCCUGACGGAGCAACGCCGCGUGAGUGAUGAAGGUCUUCGGAUCGUAAAACUCUGUUAUUAGGGAAGAACAAACGUGUAAGUAACUGUGCACGUCUUGACGGUACCUAAUCAGAAAGCCACGGCUAACUACGUG